GGCUCAGAACGAACGCUGGCGGCGUGGAUAAGACAUGCAAGUCGAGCGCUGAUUUGAGGGUAGCAAUAUUUUCAAAUCGGAGCGGCGCAAGGGUGCGUAACGCGUGGGAAUCUGCCUUGAAGUGUGGGAUAACUCGUCGAAAGACGAGCUAAUACCGCAUGUGAUUGUAAAAUCAAAGUUGGGGAUUGUAAGACCUGACGCUUCAAGAUGAGCCCGCGCCCUAUCAGCUAGUUGGUGAGGUAAUGGCUCACCAAGGCUUAGACGGGUAGCUGGUCUGAGAGGACGACCAGCCACACUGGAACUGAGACACGGUCCAGACACCUACGGGUGGCAGCAGUCGAGAAUUUUUCUCAAUGGGCGAAAGCCUGAAGGAGCGACGCCGCGUGGGGGAUGAAUGGCUUCGGCCCGUAAACCCCUGUCAUUUGUGAACAAAUUGAUUCACUUAAUACGUGAAGCAUUGAUUGUAGCGAAAGAGGAAGGGACGGCUAACUCUGUGCCAGCAGCCGCGGUAAUACAGAGGUCCCAAGCGUUGUUCGGAUUCACUGGGCGUAAAGGGUGCGUAGGCGGUCAAGUAAGUCUGACGUGAAAUCUCCGGGCCUAACCCGGAAACUGCGUUGGAUACUAUUUGGCUAGAGGAAUGGAGGGGAGACUGGAAUACUUGGUGUAGCAGUGAAAUGCGUAGAUAUCAAGUGGAACACCAGUGGCGAAGGCGAGUCUCUGGACAUUUCCUGACGCUGAGGCACGAAAGCUAGGGGAGCAAACGGGAUUAGAUACCCCGGUAGUCCUAGCCCUAAACGGUGCACGUUUGCUAUAAGUGGAUUCGACCCCACUUGUGGCGUAGUUAACACGAUAAACGUGCCGCCUGGGAAG
rnacentral:rRNA from 1 species